UACGUAGGCAGCGAGCGUUGUUCGGAGUUACUGGGCGUAAAGGGUGUGUAGGCGGUUUUCUAAGUUUGGUGUGAAAUCUCUCGGCUCAACCGGGAGGGUGCGCCGAAAACUGGGAGACUAGAGUGCGGGAUGGGAGAGUAGAAUUCCUGGUGUAGCGGUGAAAUGCGUAGAUAUCAGGAGGAAUACCGGUGGUGUAGACGGCUCUCUGGACCGCCACUGACGCUGAGACACGAAAGCGUGGGUAGCAAACAGG
rnacentral:rRNA from 1 species